GAUGAACGCUGGCGGCGCGCCUAACACAUGCAAGUCGAACGGAGUCCAGCCUUAGAGACCUUCGGGUCAAAGAGGGGAAGACUGAGUGGCGGACGGGUGAGUAACACGUGGGCAACCUGGCUCAUAGAGGGGGAUAACAGAGAGAAAUUUCUGCUAAUACCGCAUAAGCACACACUGCCGCAUGGCAGAGGGUGAAAAGAGAAUCGCUAUGAGAUGGACCCGCGUCUGAUUAGCCAGUUGGCAGGGUAAGAGCCUACCAAAGCGACGAUCAGUAGCCGAUCUGAGAGGAUGAACGGCCACAUUGGGACUGAGACACGGCCCAAACUCCUACGGGAGGCAGCAGUGGGGGAUAUUGCACAAUGGGGGGAACCCUGAUGCAGCGACGCCGCGUGAGUGAAGAAGUAUUUCGGUAUGUAAAGCUCUAUCAGCAGGGAAGAUAAUGACAGUACCUAAUAAGAGCCCC
rnacentral:rRNA from 1 species